CCCCGGCAGUUCCAGUUCCGAUCCGCAUACGGGCCCGAAUACUACUCUACACUAAUCACUGCCUUCGGCUUUUUUCGUUACGCGCUCUUCAAGUGGUUUGACCUGUGAUGACCUUUUGUUGCUACUGAAGCAAAUAUGGCCGACCAGUGAUGAAUAAGGAUCAUCUGUUAUCAACUUUACCAUUAUACAUGAAUAAAAACGAUAACUCUAUGUCAACCAGAAGGACUUUGAACACAGUUAUUGAAUUAGUUUCCUUGGAGACUUUAACAGUAAUUGUUAAGACUUGGAACAAGACAGAAUGAAACUGUGAGAAAGUUUACAUUUAUACAUGUACAGUGUACAUGUAGCUUCAGUAUGAAUCAAUUGAUACACCAUCACAAUUUUGUCAACCUGAUCAUUGGAAGUUUACCAAGUUAUAUGAGACGCAUUGAAAGCCUGUAGAGAUUCUACAUGUAUACAUAAAUGGAAUAGACUCAUACUUACAAAUAACAAGACUAAUGCACUCUCAAACAAGGAUUAUUCACGUUUCAAUGAGUGAAUUGAAGUGCAUGCUAGCUGCGCAUGGAAGUUUGU